GAUGAACGCUGACAGAAUGCUUAACACAUGCAAGUCGAUGGGGAAGUGGUGCUUGCACCAUGGCAACCAUGGCGGACGGGUGAGUAACGCGUAAGGGACUUACCUGCAGGACUGGGAUAACAGGGGGAAACUCCUGACAAGACCGGAUAAUGUCAUGGAGCUGCAUGGCUUUAUGAUGAAAGGAGACGCCUGCGGAGAGCCUUGCGUCCUAUUAGCUAGUUGGUGAGGUAAUGGCUCACCAAGGCGAAGAUAGGUAGCCGGCCUGAGAGGGUGGACGGCCACAAGGGGACUGAGAUACGGCCCUUACUCCUACGGGAGGCAGCAGUGGGGAAUAUUGGACAAUGGGGGCAACCCUGAUCCAGCAAUUCUGUGUGCACGAAGAAGGUUUUCGGAUUGUAAAGUGCUUUUAGCAGGGAAGAAGUAAGUGACGGUACCUGCAGAAGAAGCGACGGCUAAAUACGUG
rnacentral:rRNA from 1 species